UUGCUCCCAUUUCUCAGCGGCGGACGGGUGAGUAACACGUGGGCAACCUGCCCUACAGACUGGGAUAACUCCGGGAAACCGGAGCUAAUACCGGGUAAUACAUAGCAUCGCAUGAUGCAACGUUGAAAGUUGGCCUUUGGCUAACACUGUAGGAUGGGCCCGCGGCGCAUUAGCUAGUUGGUAAGGUAACGGCUUACCAAGGCCACGAUGCGUAGCCGACCUGAGAGGGUGAUCGGCCACACUGGGACUGAGACACGGCCCAGACUCCUACGGGAGGCAGCAGUAGGGAAUCUUCCGCAAUGGACGAAAGUCUGACGGAGCAACGCCGCGUGAGUGACGAAGGCCUUCGGGUCGUAAAGCUCUGUUGUUAGGGAAGAACAAGUACCGUUCGAAUAGGGCGGUACCUUGACGGUACCUAACCAGAAAGCCACGGCUAACUACGUGCCAGCAGCCGCGGUAAUACGUAGGUGGCAAGCGUUGUCCGGAAUUAUUGGGCGUAAAGCGCGCGCAGGCGGUCUCUUAAGUCUGAUGUGAAAGCCCACGGCUCAACCGUGGAGGGCCAUUGGAAACUGGGGGACUUGAGUGCAGAAGAGGAGAGUGGAAUUCCACGUGUAGCGGUGAAAUGCGUAGAUAUGUGGAGGAACACCAGUGGCGAAGGCGGCUCUCUGGUCUGUAACUGACGCUGAGGCGCGAAAGCGUGGGGAGCGAACAGGAUUAGAUACCCUGGUAGUCCACGCCGUAAACGAUGAGUGCUAGGUGUUUGGGGGGGUUCCACCCUCAGUGGCUGAAGUUAACACAUUAAGCACUCCGCCCGGGGGAGUACGACCGCAAGGUUGAAACUCAAAGGAAUUGACGGGGGCCCGCACAAGCAG
rnacentral:rRNA from 1 species